rnacentral:rRNA from 1 species
GAUGAACGCUAGCGGCAGGCCUAACACAUGCAAGUCGAGGGGUAGCAGGAUUAAGCUUGCUUAAUUGCUGAUGACCGGCACACGGGUGCGUAACGCGUAUGCAACCUACCUUAUACUGGGGUAUAGCCCGGAGAAAUUCGGAUUAAUCCCCCAUAGUACUAAUGAAUCGCAUGGUUUAUUAGUUAAAGCAUUGCGGUAUAAGAUGGGCAUGCGUCCUAUUAGCUAGAUGGUGAGGUAACGGCUCACCAUGGCUACGAUAGGUAGGGGGCCUGAGAGGGUGGUCCCCCACACUGGUACUGAGACACGGACCAGACUCCUACGGGAGGCAGCAGUGAGGAAUAUUGGUCAAUGGGCGCAAGCCUGAACCAGCCAUGCCGCGUGCAGGAAGAAUGCCCUAUGGGUUGUAAACUGCUUUUAUUUGGGAAUAGACCUCUUUACGUGUAGAGAGCUGAAGGUACCAAAUGAAUAAGCACCGGCUAACUCCGUGCCAGCAGCCGCAGUAA